UACGGAGGGGGCUAGCGUUGUUCGGAAUUACUGGGCGUAAAGCGCACGUAGGCGGACUGUUAAGUCGGGGUGAAAUCCGGUGGGGACUCCGAACCUCAGAAUUCCUCGAUCUACUGGCAGUCUCGAGUGCGGGAGAGGUGAGUGGAAUUCCCAGUGUAGAGGUGAAAUUCGUAGAUAUUGGGAAGAACACCAGUGGCGAAGGCGGCUCACUGGCCCGGUACUGACGCUGAGGUGCGAAAGCGUGGGGAGCAAACAGG
rnacentral:rRNA from 1 species